GGGUGAGGGGCAGCGGAAGGGGCGGCGGAGCACCGAUCUCAUGGAUGGGCUCCGAGGGGCUUGCGGGAGGGGGGCGCCAGUGUUCGGGGCCGUUUUGGCGGCUAUGCAGGAUUGGCAGGAGCUGCGAUGCUCACACUUGCCUCGCCGACCGCCAUUUCACAUCCAGCAGAGGAGGCGGGGGCAGCCGCUGAGACGGUUUUUCACAAGGAAAUGACCUCAUUCUUGAUGGCUGCUGCUAACUUAUGUAUUCCCACGAGCAUUCUGCUGAGAUGAACAAUCAGAUGACCUCGUGUGAGAUUUGGAGGAGAGAAGGAAAUGGAGAGCAUGCGUCUGCCGCUUCUGUGGUUUCUGUCGGCUUUCUCCAUAUUUACGUGCUUGUAACUCUGGCAUGACCUUUGCUCCAGUCUCUACCAGAGGGCGGUGCCUGGAUUGAAGUGGAAAAGCCCUGUUUUCCAGCCAUGACCCAGGGAGCAAGCACUGACUCCUCAGGGGAACAGGAGACCUGCCAACUAGGACCCUGGGAGCCCCCAUGCUGGCAGUGCCCUGGGUCAUCUCAGGCUCAUCAGCAAAUCCUGGGGGGAGAGCGGGGCUGGAGGGCGAAGAAGCCCAGGAGAGUUCCUGGCUCAGAACCCCUCUCUGAGGCUCCCAAUACAGAGCCCAGGCCCCACACCCAGGGCCUCUGAGUAUUUUUGUUUAUUGUAUGUAAAAUACUAGUGUAUUUUUGUUUAAGUCUCACAGGUAAACAGGUUCUCUCAUACUUUGCCAAGGGAAAUGUGAUCUGUGCAAUUUGGCAAUAACUAUCAGAAUUUUAAAAGCUUA
rnacentral:lncRNA from 1 species